GAUGAACGCUGGCGGCGUGCCUAAUACAUGCAAGUCGAGCGAACGGCCGAGAAGCUUGCGUCUCUGAUGUUAGCAGCGGACGGGUCAGUAACACAUGGAUAACCUACCUAUAAGACUGGGAUACCUUCGGGAACACGGAGCUUAUACCGGAUAAUAUUUUGACCCGUAUGGUUCCAAAGUAAAAGACGGUCUUGCUGUCACUUAUCGAUGGAUCCGCGACUCAUUACCUAGUUGUUAAGGUGACGGCAUACCAACGCAACGAGGCAUAGCCGACCGGAGAGGGAGAUGGCACGCAUGGGAACUGAGAAUCGGUCCAGACCCCGACGGUAGGCAACAGUCGGGAACCCUCCGCGAUGGGGGAAGGCGUGACGGAGCAACGCCGCGUGAAUGAUGAACGUCCUCGGAUCGUGAAACUCUGUUAUUAGGGAGGAUCAUAUGUGUAAGUAGCUGUGCACAUCGUGACGGUACCGAAAGAGUAAGCCCCGGCUAACUACGUG
rnacentral:rRNA from 1 species